rnacentral:tRNA from 3 species
GGGGCCAUAGCUCAGUUGGGAGAGCACCUGCUUUGCAAGCAGGGGGUCGCCGGUUCGAGCCCGGCUGGCUCCA